UCCCUGGAGGAUUAGUGGUUAGGCUCUCAGCACUCUCAUCACCACAGCCCAGGUUCGAUUCCUGGCCAGGGAA